CAGUUUUCUUUAUUAAUCAUUUAGUCCCUCCACACACAUUACAUAAAUACAUAUACAUCCAAACAAUUUAAAAUAUUCCAUUGGGUCAAGAAUCUAAAAACUUCUGGAUUACAGCAGACCUAAAAAAGGAGAAGUAAGAAGAAUGUACAAGAAAUUGGUACAUCCAGGAUGCCUGAGGAGGGGAACUUGAGAACAGAAGUGGGAGGCUUUUCAUCAUUUAUUCUUUUGUAUCUUUUGAAUUUUUUUUGCCACAUGCAUUUAUUACCUCUUCAGUUUAAACAUUUUUUUAAGCAAGAGAAGAGUUUUCCUUUCUUUUUCUUCUACCAAAGCCUCUCUGCGGCUCAUUUCCUGGGGGUAGAGGAGACUGUGCUAGGAUUGGCAUCAUGCACUGGAAGCCAACCCUCAGCCCAGGCCCAGCCCAAGACCAGUCCUAGCCCUCCAGCUGGGUUGGCCAACAGCCCUGCUCCCCUGCCUGCACCAUGUGCAUGGAGGGGUUCUGUGGGUGGGCACCACUGUUGGCUGCCCUUGCCACUGGCACUCCGGCUGUCAAACUGGUAUAGAGACUCCAUUCAAGGCAUUCCAGGAAGGGGCUAGCCCUCCUGGCUCCAGCUGCCUGGUGGGCAAAGGGGCCCGAGAGUCCAGCAAAUGGGGAAGUAUGUACAUCCAGCUUCAAAUUCUCCAGAUUUUGCCAUUCACUUUCAAAGACAGACUGCUUUUUGUCUUGUUUUGUUUUCUGUUGCUAAUAUAACAUGAGGGCAGGAACAGGAAAGGAAAAUAACAAAAGGACCAGAGAUGCACGGGGAGAAAAGGUCUUUAAAGCUCCCCUUUCUCCUGGCCCCGUCCCCAUGCCACUGGCCUCUGCUGGGCAGAGCUGGGCUGCAGCAUCUCUGGCAGGUCCCACUCCCCUGGUUUUCUCCCCUCGUGGAGCUCCUGCUCAGCUUUCCCUGGUGACAUCUAGCUGCUGCCCGGCCUUCUUUCACCUCCUUCUCUGAUUAUCCCCUUCGAUGAGUGCUGGCUGUCACUUCUGUGUCCCCUACUUCCCUCUACCCCUCCUAUUUCACUGCCACACUGCCCAGAGACAGCCGCCAUCUUUGAGGUCAUUGCCCAGACUGGUGCUGUCACCUGCCCCACAACUGGGAUUGCUCAAGGUAGGGCUCCUCCACCAACUGUUCAAAAUCCCCGUACCGACUUCUUUCCAGGGUCAGCAAAGCCCAGGUGGGGGCAGGUUGUCCUCCAGCAGGCUAUACGAAGGUGCAGGCAAGAGGACAUUCUGAGAAGCCAUGACAGAGUCAGACAAGGAGCAGCAGAUGGAGACACACACUUGAUAGAGUGGACACAAGAGAUGAAAAGAUACAGAGUUAUGAGGAAAAACAGCUUCAGGGAAAGAAAAAGCAGAGAGUGAAAACCAAUAAAAGUGUAAUAGUACUAAAACCAGAAAGGCCUGAAGAGAAACCAUCCAGGGAGCAGCAAGAGGACAGCUGACAUGAGUGGAGUCAGGUCAGAGAGAAGGAGCAGGAGGGCUGGGGCGGGCAGUGUGUGAGGGGCCGGAGGCCGGAUGAGUGGCGCAACAGAAAUCUCUUGGGAAGGGUCAUUCACCUCCCAGGCUAUUGGGCUUAUUGGCUGCAGCGAGCAGAAUCUUUUUCAAACACAGCAAGCAUUUUACCUUGGUCUGCUUCCCUGUCUAGAAAAGGCUGGAGCCAAAGGCUGAGGGAACCAUUCCAGGAUAAGGACCCUGCACGGACAACAGAGCCAGGACCAUGAGAUCCUGGCCCCCUCUGGGAAUCAGCCUGCCUUCCCCUGACACAAGCUGCCAGACCACUAAACUCAGUGUAUUGAUCCAAGUCCCAAAGGCUGUUUGUGUUCUCCACUUCCACUGGGAAAGGCUCGACGACUUCCUUAAUUCUGUCUUCAAGCUUGUCAGAAAGCAGAUGCUGUUCAAAUGUGACAGCUGCUCUAAAGGGAUGCUCCCUGGGAGCUCCCUGACCAGUGGGAAUAUUUGCAAUGAUGACUGAAGAGGCCUUGGGUGACCCGGUAACAGCAAGACAAAGAAGAGAGCACCAAAGGACAUCAAAAAUAAAAUGGCCCCAGGCAAACCAUAUGGGACUUGAAUUGGAAAACACCAACAGCCUCGCUCCUUUCCCUAGACUGUGUAUCUUUGGAGAAGACCUGACUCCUUAACCACCUGCCACGGAGGAGUACCAAAUUAGGCUGGGAGGUAAAAGUGGCUGAGUGAAGCCAGCCAUCCAUCAUGCUUUGGUUUCUGUCUGACUGAGAGGGUUGGGCACGAGAGGUCUUCCUUCCCUGGCUCUUGAGCCUGUAAAUUGUGUAAAGUAUGGUUCCAGGCUGAAUAUAAGUCCUCUGCUCUGCAUGACAUUUAUACUCUUGAAAAACUUAGUGUAUCAAUCAAAUCAAAUUUUGCCUGCCAGAGAAGCUGGCUUUUCAAAAUAAAUUUGAGGUCAAUCCUAUGUUUAAAGAGAAGAACGGCUUGUGAAGCUGAAUAAUCAUCCCAGUUCAUGUCUGUAACUUUGGAAUUUUGAAUGUCUGAUUUGAGUGGCUAUGGGGGGUAGGGAUGAGACUGUCUAGAGAUCCACCUACAGUUUACUUGUAGGUUACAAUUAAGUAUUACUUUAAAACAAAUUAAAAAAUCAGAUAGGUGUGUUGCAGGAGCCCCUACUAAAGAAAUAUGAAUUUUUAAAAAUUGAUCAUGGAAAAUUUCAAAUAUGUAUUUUAAAAGUAGCAAGCCUAAUAUUAAAAAAAAAAAAAAAAACUCCAGAUAUUAUCACCUCCUGGCUAAUCCUGUGAGAAACAUGGACUUUUGCGCCAGGUGACAGAUAUGGAGAAUGAACUUUAUGGGACAGGACAAAUAGGAUUAGUCAUACAAAGCUACAGGUCCAAGUCUCUGCAUAAAUGCCCUAGACUAGAGCCUAGAGUGUAAAGAGAAGAGAAGAGAAAUAUAUUCCUGGUUAAUAACCAAAGAAGAAGGGAUCCCUGGGUGGCGCAGCGGUUUGGCGCCUGCCUUUGGCCCAGGGCAUGAUCCUGGAGACCCGGGAUCGAAUCCCACAUCGGGCUCCCGGUGUAUGGAGCCUGCUUCUCCCUCUACCUGUGUCUCUGCCUCUCUCUCUCUCUCUCUGUGACUAUCAUAAGUAAAUAAAAUAAAAAAAAAAAAAAAAUAAAUAACCAAAGAAGAAAGUUGAGACUUAAAAAAAAAAAAAAAAA
rnacentral:lncRNA from 1 species